rnacentral:lncRNA from 12 species
UUGCCAGGUUGGUUGAGAAAGUCAUAUUGGUAGUAGGAGGGAAGGAAAUGGAAAGAGAAAUCCUGAUCUGAAGGUGUUAGUCCUACAUUUUCAUUGCUGGAUUUCUAUCUCUCCUGUUCUUUCUCAGAAUGGAUUGUAACAAAUGUGCUCAACAGUAUUGGGAUCUUCAUUCUAUCUUCCUUUCCUGAGCUUUUCUGAGGUGGACAUUUGCUCCAGCUGCAGCCGAGUCACUGGUGUACCUGAAUUGAAA